UGGGGGAUAUUGCACAAUGGGCGAAAGCCUGAUGCAGCGACGCCGCGUGGGGGAUGAAGGCCUUCGGGUUGUAAACUUCUUUUGCUCUGAACAAGGCAUGCUAAUGGGUGUGUUGAGUGUAGGGGUUGAUUAGCGCCGGCUAACUACGUGCCAGCAGCCGCGGUAAUACGUAGGGCGCGAGCGUUUUCCGGAAUUAUUGGGCGUAAAGGGCUUGUAGGUGGCUGGUUGCGUCUGUCGUGAAAGCUCAUGGCUUAACUGUGGGUUUGCGGUGGGUACGGGCUGGCUUGAGUGCAGUAGGGGAGGCUGGAAUUCCUGGUGUAGCGGUGGAAUGCGCAGAUAUCAGGAGGAAUACCGGUGGCGAAGGCGGGUCUCUGGGCUGUUACUGACACUGAGGAGCGAAAGCAUGGGGAGCGAACAGG
rnacentral:rRNA from 1 species